rnacentral:tRNA from 1 species
GGGAGUGGAUCCGGGCUGGUGUCCGGUGCGGCCUUCAAAGCCGUUGGGGUGGCGUUCGGCGUCGCCCGGUGGGUUCGAUUCCCAUGCACUCCCGCCA